rnacentral:rRNA from 1 species
AGAACGAACGCCGGCGGCAGGCCUAACACAUGCAAGUCGAGCGCGUGUAGCAAUACACGAGCGGCAGACGGGAGAGUAACACGUGGGAACGCGCCCUUCGGUUCGGAAUAACUCAGGGAAACUUGAGCUAAUACCGGAUACGCCCUUACGGGGAAAGAUUUAUUGUCGAAGGAACGGCCCGCGUCCGAUUAGCUAGUUGGUGAGGUAACGGCUCACCAAGGCGACGAUCGGUAGCUGGUCUGAGAGGAUGACCAGCCUCACUGGGACUGAGACACGGCCCAGACUCCUACGGGAGGCAGCAGUGGGGAAUAUUGGACAAUGGGCGCAAGCCUGAUCCAGCCAUGCCGCGUGGAUGAUGAAGGCCUUAGGGUUGUAAAGUCCUUUUAACGGGGAAGAUAAUGACGGUACCGUAGAAUAAGCCCGGCUAACUUCGUGCCAGCAGCCGC